rnacentral:rRNA from 2 species
UUCGCAAUGCCCGAAAGGGUGACGAAGCGACGCCGCGUGCGGGAAGAAGGCCCUAGGGUUGUAAACCGCUGUCAGGAGUUAAGAAAUGUAAGUGUGCUAAUAUCGCAUUUACUUGACGAAGGCUCCAAAGGAAGUCACGGCUAACUCUGUGCCAGCAGCCGCGGUAAUACAGAGGUGGCAAGCGUUGUUCGGAAUUAUUGGGCGUAAAGAGCACGUAGGUGGGUUUGUAAGUCAGAUGUGAAAGCCUCCUGUUCAACGGGAGAAUUGCAUCUGAAACUACUGAUCUUGAGUAUAGGAGGGGAGAAUGGAACUUCUGGUGGAGCGGUGAAAUGCGUAGAUAUCAGAAGGAACGCCGGCGGCGAAAGCGAUUCUCUGGCCUAUUACUGACACUCAGUGUGCGAAAGCUAGGGGAGCAAACGGGAUUAGAUACCCCGGUAGUCCUAGCUGUAAACGAUGGGCACUAAGUAGAGGGGUUUU